GCCCUGUUGGCGUAGUGGUAGCGCGUCGCACUUGUACACUCAUUGUCAUGCGAAGGUCAUUCGUUCAAUCCGGGUACAGGGCA